UUCAUUUUGGUGUGCGCAUGCCAAAUCACCGGAGUUACCAGGGCAAAGGCUCUUCCUUUGAAGUCAGCAGCCAGACGCUUCAGGGCACCCUCUCAGACUUUGUGAUAUCAAUGCAGUUGGCAUUGACCAAGCUCUACUUAUGGUGAUGUACAGAACAAUAAAGUCACGUUGCUUCCUGAGAGGACUGAACCAGUAGGCAGAAAGAAGCUUCAUCAUUGUUCAUUUGAGGAUGUUAUCCCAGGGAAGGCAGUUCUAGUUUGCUGAGAAAUUUGUUUCAGGGUUUUCCCAAGGACAACAGGAGCAGCACACCCAGCUUUUCGUUGCCUCCUGUUCCCAUCUCAGCCCCUCCUAUGAAAGGGUCAUCCUGGCACCAGCUUGGCUUGGGGACCUUCACUAUUGGGGUGGCAAAAUCCAGCUCCAGCCACGUUUCUGAGAAACCUUGAAGCUGCUGGGAAGAGAGGAAGAGGAGGAGACGCACCUUGCUCCACAGCCCAUUAAGCUCAGAAAUGCCAUUCCUGAGGGCCAGCACCCUAUGCCUUAGAGAUUUAGCAUCUGGAUUGCCAGUGUGGGACAUUACCGAUGAAUCUGAUAUGCUCUUCAGGUCAGGGUCACUGAAGCUGACAUUAUUUCUUUACUGCCAUUGCUGUUGAGGAGAAUGAACCAAAUUCCAAACUCAGAUUCCCCUGGGAGGGCUGGUAACAUCCAAACGUGCCUCUGCGGGCACUUCCACUCUACUCAGGAGCCCAUCUUUCCCUGGGUGAGCAUGGGAGCUGGGAUGUGGCCUGUUGCAGAGAAAUGGCUUACCAGGAGAUCCUCAUUUUGACAAAGUUGCUGAGGUUGCAUUCCUGACAACCUGGUGCCCAUGAGAGGGAAAAACAUGGGUGGACACAGCUGUGGUCAGAACGGUGGGAAGGCUGUGACUGUACCAUGUGGUGCACCACAGCAAGGGGACCUUCCUCGUCUUUCCUGGUAAACUCAAUCUGCAUAAGGAGGAAUGGUUUCUGUGCACCUCACACUUUUCUUUCUCAUUUUUUGGAGGAGGAUGUGGCCUAGAAACCUCUGGUACACACCAUGUGUGAAAGGGUGUGCACCAGUGCCACUGUGUGAGUCACAGGACAAAAUGUUGUCAACAGUGGUGCCCAACAGAUGCUGCACUGCUUAGCUGUGGUCCAUCGGAGAGUGAAAGGUGAACAAGUACCAAAAACCCUUAUGCGCGCUCACUCCCCUCGAGUUGGUUUGUAUGUGCCUUCCAGGGCUGUCACAGCCUGCCAGGCCAUCUAUUUAUCACACAUCCUCUCCCUCUGGCACUGCCAGCAUCCAGGAUCACCCACCUAACCCAUUAGCUGGUUUGGUUUGCUUCUUCAGAAAGGUUUUGCGGUCCACAGAAUAAAAAAUCA